CCAUACUUUGCAAAGGUCACAACCUGCGCUUGGCUGACCUCCAAGACUUGGGUCUCGUAUCAACCGCCCUGAUCGGCUGCUGCCAGCCCGAAGCGGUCAUGGAACGAAACUGUGGGGGUGGU
rnacentral:tRNA from 1 species